rnacentral:rRNA from 1 species
AGAGUUUGAUCCUGGCUCAGAACGAACGCUGGCGGAAUGCUUUACACAUGCAAGUCGAACGGUAGAGGGGGCAACCCCUUGAGAGUGGCGAACGGGUGAGUAAUGUAUCGGAACGUGCCCAGUCGUGGGGGAUAACGUAGUGAAAAUUACGCUAAUACCGCAUACGAUCUAUGGAUGAAAGCGGGGGAUCGCAAGACCUCGCGCGAUUGGAGCGGCCGAUAUCAGAUUAGGUAGUUGGUGGGGUAAAGGCUCACCAAGCCAACGAUCUGUAGCUGGUCUGAGAGGACGACCAGCCACACUGGAACUGAGACACGGUCCAGACUCCUACGGGAGGCAGCAGUGGGGAAUUUUGGACAAUGGACGCAAGUCUGAUCCAGCCAUUCCGCGUGCAGGACGAAGGCCUUCGGGUUGUAAACUGCUUUUGUACGGAACGAAAAAGCUCUUAUUAAUACUAGGAGUCCAUGACGGUACCGUAAGAAUAAGCACCGGCUAACUACGUGCCAGCAGCCGCGGUAAUACGUAGGGUGCAAGCGUUAAUCGGAAUUACUGGGCGUAAAGCGUGCGCAGGCGGUUAUAUAAGACAGAUGUGAAAUCCCCGAGCUUAACUUGGGAACUGCAUUUGUGACUGUAUAGCUAGAGUACGGCAGAGGGGGAUGGAAUUCCGCGUGUAGCAGUGAAAUGCGUAGAUAUGCGGAGGAACACCGAUGGCGAAGGCAAUCCCCUGGGCCUGUACUGACGCUCAUGCACGAAAGCGUGGGGAGCAAACAGGAUUAGAUACCCUGGUAGUCCACGCCCUAAACGAUGUCAACUGGUUGUUGGGUCUUCACUGACUCAGUAACGAAGCUAACGCGUGAAGU